UACGUAGGGUGCGAGCGUUGUCCGGAAUUAUUGGGCGUAAAGAGCUCGUAGGCGGUUUGUUGCGUCUAUCGUGAAAACCUGCAGCUUAACUGUGGGCUUGCGGUGGAUACGGGCAGACUUGAGUUCGGUAGGGGAGACUGGAAUUCCUGGUGUAGCGGUGAAAUGCGCAGAUAUCAGGAGGAACACCGGUGGCGGAGGCAGGUCUCUGGGCCACUACUGACGCUGAGAAGCGAAAGCAUGGGGAGCGAACAGG
rnacentral:rRNA from 1 species